AGAGUUUGAUCCUGGCUCAGGAUGAACGCUGGCGGCGUGCCUAACACAUGCAAGUCGAGCGAGAAAUAAAGGAAUGAAGCUUCGGUAGAUUUUCUUUAUGGAAAGCGGCGGACGGGUGAGUAACGCGUAGGCAACCUGCCCUGUACAGGGGGAUAGCCACCCGAAAAGGUGAUUAAUACCCCAUAACGCAAGAGAUACACAUGUAUCACUUGUCAAAGAUUUAUCGGUAUAGGAUGGGCCUGCGUCUGAUUAGCUAGUUGGUAGGGUAACGGCUUACCAAGGCAACGAUCAGUAGCCGACCUGAGAGGGUGAUCGGCCACAUUGGAACUGAGACACGGUCCAAACUCCUACGGGAGGCAGCAGUGGGGAAUAUUGCACAAUGGGCGCAAGCCUGAUGCAGCAACGCCGCGUGAAGGAUGAAGGCCUUCGGGUUGUAAACUUCUGUCCUAGGGGAAGAAACAAAUGACAUUACCCUUGGAGGAAGCCCCGGCUAACUACGUGCCAGCAGCCGCGGUAAUACGUAGGGGGCGAGCGUUAUCCGGAAUUAUUGGGCGUAAAGAGUGCGUAGGUGGCACCUUAAGCGCAGGGUUUAAGGCAAUGGCUCAACCAUUGUUCGCCUUGCGAACUGGGGUGCUUGAGUGCAGGAGGGGAAAGUGGAAUUCCUAGUGUAGCGGUGAAAUGCGUAGAUAUUAGGAGGAACACCAGUGGCGAAGGCGACUUUCUGGACUGUUACUGACACUGAGGCACGAAAGCGUGGGGAGCAAACAGGAUUAGAUACCCUGGUAGUCCACGCCGUAAACGAUGAGCACU
rnacentral:rRNA from 1 species